rnacentral:rRNA from 1 species
AACGAACGCUGGCGGCAUGCCUAACACAUGCAAGUCGAACGAGACCUUCGGGUCUAGUGGCGCACGGGUGCGUAACGCGUGGGAACCUGCCCUUAGGUUCGGAAUAACUCCCCGAAAGGGGUGCUAAUACCGGAUAAUGUCUUCGGACCAAAGAUUUAUCGCCUUUGGAUGGGCCCGCGUUGGAUUAGCUAGUUGGUAGGGUAAAAGCCUACCAAGGCGACGAUCCAUAGCUGGUCUGAGAGGAUGAUCAGCCACACUGGGACUGAGACACGGCCCAGACUCCUACGGGAGGCAGCAGUGGGGAAUAUUGGACAAUGGGCGAAAGCCUGAUCCAACAAUGCCGCGUGAGUGAUGAAGGCCUUAGGGUUGUAAAGCUCUUUUACCCGGGAUGAUAAUGACAGUACCGGGAGAAGAAGCUCCGGCUAACUCCGU